GUGGUCGUUAGUGGGCAUAGGAGUCUUGGCGCCUUUGCAAUCUUGCAUGCUAAAUUUCUUCAAGACAUCCUUGAGGUAUUUCUCUUGAGAGAUGAAUAGCCAUUGCAUUGUUGAAGAAUUUGAAGACCUAAGAAGAAUUUUAGCUCUCCCAACAUAGACAUUUUAUAUUCUUCACUUAUCAUGUGGGCAAAUUCGUCACUGUAAUGUUUGUCAGUACAACCAAAGAUA
rnacentral:lncRNA from 1 species